GCCAACAUGGUGUAGUGGUUUUACCACUGGACUACAACUCUGGAGAUCAGGGUUCAAUUCCUUGCUUGGCC
rnacentral:tRNA from 1 species